AUUGAACGCUGGCGGCAUGCUUUACACAUGCAAGUCGAACGGCAGCGCGGGCUUCGGCCUGGCGGCGAGUGGCGAACGGGUGAGUAAUACAUCGGAACGUGCCCAGUAGUGGGGGAUAGCUCGGCGAAAGCCGGAUUAAUACCGCAUACGACCUGAGGGUGAAAGCGGGGGAUCUUCGGACCUCGCGCUAUUGGAGCGGCCGAUGGCAGAUUAGCUAGUUGGUGGGGGAAAGGCCUACCAAGGCGACGAUCUGUAGCUGGUCUGAGAGGACGACCAGCCACACUGGAACUGAGACACGGCCCAGACUCCUGCGGGAGGCAGCAGUGGGGAAUUUUGGACAAUGGGCGAAAGCCUGAUCCAGCAAUGCCGCGUGUGUGAUGAAGGCCUUCGGGUUGUAAAGCACUUUUGGCGGGAACGAAAAGGACUGUGCCAAUACCACGGUUCGAUGACGGUACCCGCAGAAUAAGCACCGGCUAACUACGUG
rnacentral:rRNA from 1 species